UGGGAAUUUUGGACAAUGGGCGCAAGCCUGAUCCAGCCAUGCCGCGUGCGGGAAGAAGGCCUUCGGGUUGUAAACCGCUUUUGUCAGGGAAGAAAUCUUCUGAGUUAAUACCUCGGGAGGAUGACGGUACCUGAAGAAUAAGCACCGGCUAACUACGUGCCAGCAGCCGCGGUAAUACGUAGGGUGCAAGCGUUAAUCGGAAUUACUGGGCGUAAAGCGUGCGCAGGCGGUUUUGUAAGACAGAGGUGAAAUCCCCGGGCUCAACCUGGGAACUGCCUUUGUGACUGCAAGGCUUGAGUGCGGCAGAGGGGGAUGGAAUUCCGCGUGUAGCAGUGAAAUGCGUAGAUAUGCGGAGGAACACCGAUGGCGAAGGCAAUCCCCUGGGCCUGCACUGACGCUCAUGCACGAAAGCGUGGGGAGCAAAACAGGAUUAGAUACCCUGGUAGUCCACGCCCUAAACGAUGUCAACUGGUUGUUGGGAAGGUUCCUUCUCAGUAACGUAGCUAACGCGUGAAGUUGACCGCCUGGGGAGUACGGCCGCAAGGUUGAAACUUAAAUGAAUUGACGGGGUCAUAGC
rnacentral:rRNA from 1 species